rnacentral:lncRNA from 1 species
UAGACGAGAGGCAGGUCAUGCGAUGACAACAUAUUAUGUGUUUGGAGGGCUGUUUCUGAUUGUGGUGUUGAUGCUUCUUGUUGGNAUGUGUUUGGGCUGUUUCUGAUUGUGGUGUUGAUGCUUCUUGUUGGACUAGCGAUUGGCUUUUGGUUCUGAUUUCAGUAUUUUACUUUAUUUUGGUCAUGAAAUGAAAACCCAUGUUAGGUGUCUUUUGGGAAAAACAUUUUAAAACUUUAUUUUGGGAUUGAUGUAUUGGUUUGGUUUUAAAGUUAUUUCAAAUGGUAAUGAAGAAUUUUAUUUUAUGUUUGAAUACUUUUACUAUAAGGUCAAACCCAAGAAUUUUCUUAGUCAAUGGUCGAAUAAAAAGAUUUUUCUUUUCUUUCCUUUCUAAAACCUAUAUGCAUAGUAUUAAUGCAAACCAUUAGUUUGACAACACUUACGGUUUUCAAAAUAGUAGUGAACUAAAUAUUAUACAUUAUUUUAUGUAUUUAUACGUAUUUCUACUCUUGUGUCUUAGAACCAUGUCUGGAAGGCCUAAUCGCGGGCGCCCAUAGAACGUAACACCCGAUGUUGCUCAAAUUGUAGCACAACAACUCAUGGAAGCAAUCCCAAACAUUGUUACUCAGGUAACUGUAGGAAUUAAUGCUAACCAAGGAAGUAGUGGUGGAAACUAGGGAAACAAUGAAAAAGAAUGUAACUACAAGUCCUUUAUGGCCUGUAAACCUAAGGAGUUCCAUGGAAAGGAAGGUGCGGUCGGGUUGCUGAAAUGGAUUGACAGCAUGGAGUCGGUCCUUCACAUUAGCAAAUGCCUCGAGCGCAACAAAGUUGAGUAUGCAUCUUUCCUAUUCCAAGAUAGGGCAUUAACCUGGUGGAAUACUCUAGUGCAAACCCGAGGCCGUACAGCGGCAUAUCAGCU